rnacentral:tRNA from 1 species
AAAUAUGAAGCAAAUAUAAUGCAUUUAAUUUCGACUUAAAAGAAGAGUUCUACUCCUUAUUUAUAUU